rnacentral:rRNA from 1 species
UACGUAGGCAGCAAGCGUUGUUCGGAAUUACUGGGCGUAAAGAGUGUGUAGGCGGUGCUCUAAGUUUGGUGUGAAAUCUCCUGGCUCAACUGGGAGCUUGCAGGCGAAACUGCCGUGCUGGAGUGUGGGAGAGGUGAGUGGAAUUCCCGGUGUAGCGGUGAAAUGCGUAGAGAUCGGGAGGAAUACCUGCGGCGAAAGCGGCUCACUGGACCAUAACUGACGCUGAUGCACGAAAGCUAGGGGAGCAAACAGG